AAUUUAUUAACCUUUUUUUAUACAUAAAAAGCACACAAAAACGUGAGUCACGAGUGCGAAAAUUGUUUAUAAAAGUUUUUCUAGAAAAACAGGCUAAGGUAGCUAAAAGUGAGUCGGAGUAAUUUAAGUGAAAAGAUUGAGAAUUCAGAAGCCACUGAGCGGUGGCAACAGCGAUUUGGGCUUGUGGCAGGAACGUUCGCUAAACAUAUUGCGAGGUUAUUUUGAACGGUAUUUCCAUCGGUUCACCUCCCAGAGUGAAUUUGAGUCCUUGGUUGGUGGUAUCAGGCUUGGUUACCCUGAGUGCUCCUAUCGCCUCGUGGUUGCGUGCCACUAUAGGACAUUCGGAGAGCGUUGGUCAUCGGAUGAAGAACUCGGCCCCACGUGCAUCACACGCCUAAAGUGAUUGCCUGUUUCGUGGGAAGGUCCACAAGGGGGAAGGCUGCCAACGCCAGCGUAAUCCGCCCGACUCACGUCCUGAAAACCGGAGGCCCUCCGUGCGAUACCACCCCACAGA